rnacentral:rRNA from 1 species
UACAGAGGUCUCAAGCGUUGUUCGGAUUCAUUGGGCGUAAAGGGUGCGUAGGUGGCGCCGUAAGUCGGGUGUGAAAUUUCGGAGCUUAACUCCGAAACUGCAUUCGAUACUGCCGUGCUUGAGGACUGGAGAGGAGACUGGAAUUUACGGUGUAGCGGUGAAAUGCGCAGAUAUCAGGAAGAACACCCGUGGGCGAAGGCGGCUUUCUGGACGGAUACUGACGCUGAGACGCGAAAGCGUGGGGAGCAAACAGG